rnacentral:sRNA from 1 species
AUAACAAGAACAAAAAAAGCAGCAAGCCCUAAUAAAAAUAAGACGUAACGACUCUGACAUAACAAAAACAACACGGCAGAGACGCAGCUAACAGAUUUUUUUGGAGAGGAUGUGCUUUUCAGGGUGCUUUUCGGAGUUACCCGCAACCGGGCAGAGAACAAUAAAACUACCCUCAGGUAGCUCCCGAACUGGUUGGAUCGCUCAGCGAAAAAGUAGAUCAGCGCUCAAAAAAAUACGUUUGCUCUUGAUCCCGGAUGGGGAUCGACAAAAACAGCGGUAAAGGGUCACGGUCACUAAAAACAAAAACAGACCGCCCCUCAAUAAUAAAAAAAGAGCACGCGCAACGACAAAAUUAAAGGGGAGCUUCGGCUCCCCUUUGUGCUUUCCGGGAUUUGUGAUUUCCCCCGCUC